CGAAAGACUUAAUACUGACUGAAAGAAGUGAAUUAAUCGGUGGCAGAAGAAACUUGUAUGAAUGUAAGAAGAGAUGGGGAAGGGAAGGGAGGGGUUGGAGUAGGUAGGAGGGCGAACAAGAGGAAGAGGGAGAUGAACAGGAAGUAAGGAAUAUUGAAUUAGUUGGUGGCUGAGGGAGGGAGGUUGAAUGUAGGAAGAAAUGGAGAAGGGAAGAGGUAAGGGAAAGGGGUAGGAAUGGGGAAACAAGAGGAAGAGGUAAGGGGAAGGGGUAGGAAUGGGGAAACAAGAGGAAGAGGUAAGGGAAAGGGGUAGGAAUGGGGAAACAAGAGGAAGAGGUAAGGGAAAGGGGUAGGAAUGGGGAAACAAGAGGAAGAGGUAAGGGAACGGGGUAGGAAUGGGGAAACAAGAGGAAGAGGUAAGGGGAAGGGGUAGGAAUGGGGAAACAAGAGGAAGAGGUAAGGGGAAGGGGUAGGAAUGGGGAAACAAGAGGAAGAGGUAAAGGAAAGGGGUAGGAAUGGGGAAACAAGAGGAAGAGGUAAGGGAAAGGGGUAGGAAUGGGGAAACAAGAGGAAGAGGUAAGGGGAAGGGGUAGCAAGGGGAAACACGAGGAAGUAGGAGAUGAGCAGGAAGUAAGAAACGUUGAGUACUCGUACCCCCUUCUGCUCUAUAUCCUGCUGAGAGCCCGCUAUCCCAAGGCCGCCUGGAGAGUAGGAGAAGGAGGAGGAGGAGGAGGAGGAGGGUGGAGAAGGAAAAUAAGAGAGAGAAUGAUGGGGAAUGACUAAGGGAGGAGAAAGAGAAGAAAAAAUAAAC